rnacentral:rRNA from 1 species
AGCAGCCGCGGUAAUUCCAGCUCCAAUAGCGUAUAUUAAAGUUGUUGCAGUUAAAAAGCUCGUAGUUGAAUUUCGGGGUUAGUAGGUUGGUCAUGCCUCUGGUAUGUACUGGUCUCACUGAUUCCUCCUUCCUGAUGAACCGUAAUGCCAUUAAUUUGGUGUUGCGGGGAAUUUGGACUGUUACUUUGAAAAAAUUAGAGUGUUUAAAGCAAGCUAACGCUUGAAUACAUUAGCAUGGAAUAAUGAAAUAGGACGUUCGAUCCUAUUGUUGGUUUCUAGGAUUGACGCAAUGAUUAAUAGGGAUAGUUGGGGGCAUUAGUAUUCAAUUGUCAGAGGUGAAAUUCUUGGAUUUAUUGAAGACUAACUACUGCGAAAGCAUUUGCCAAGGAUGUUUUCAUUAAUCAAGAACGAAAGUUAGGGGAUCGAAGACGAUCAGAUACCGUCGUAGUCUUAACCAUAAACUAUGCCGACUAGGGAUCGGAUGAUGUUAAUUUUUUAAUGACUCA